rnacentral:rRNA from 1 species
UUCGUAGGGUGCAAGCGUUGUCCGGAAUUAUUGGGCGUAAAGAGCUCGUAGGCGGUUUGUCGCGUCUGCUGUGAAAGCCCGGGGCUCAACCCCGGGUCUGCAGUGGGUACGGGCAGACUAGAGUGCAGUAGGGGAGACUGGAAUUCCUGGUGUAGCGGUGAAAUGCGCAGAUAUCAGGAGGAACACCGAUGGCGAAGGCAGGUCUCUGGGCUGUUACUGACGCUGAGGAGCGAAAGCAUGGGGAGCAAACAGG